GAUGAACGCUGGCGGCGUGCCUAAUACAUGCAAGUCGAGCGAACAGACGAGGAGCUUGCUCCUCUGACGUUAGCGGCGGACGUGUGAGUAACACGAGUAUCACCUACCUAUAAGACUGGUAUAACUUCGGGAAACCGGAGCUAAUACCGGAUAAUAUAUUGAACCGCAUGGUUCAAUAGAGAGAGACGGUGUUGCUGUCACGUAUAGCGGGAUCCGAGCCGCAUUGGAUAGUUGGUAAGGUAACGGCUUACCAAGGCAACGAUGCGUAGGCGAGCGGAGAGGGUGAUCGGCCACAUGGGAACUGGGACACGGUCAAGACUCCUACGGGAGGGAGCAGUAGGGAAUCUUCCGCAAUGGGCGGAAGCCUGACGGAGCAACGCCGCGUGAGUGAUGAAGGUCUUCGGAGCGUAAAACUCUGUUAUUAGGGAAGAACAAAUGUGUAAGUAACUAUGCACGUAUUGACGGUACUUAAUCAGAAAGCCACGGCUAACUACGUG
rnacentral:rRNA from 1 species